rnacentral:rRNA from 1 species
GGGAUUGCCCUAGUAACGGCGAGUGAAGCGGCAAUAGCUCAAAUUUGAAAUCUGGCCCUCGCGGUCCGAGUUGUAAUUUGUAGAGGAUGCUUUUGGUGCGGUGCCUUCCGAGUUCCCUGGAACGGGACGCCAGAGAGGGUGAGAGCCCCGUACGGUUGGACGCCUAACCUAUAUAUAGCUCCUUCGACGAGUCGAGUAGUUUGGGAAUGCUGCUCUAAAUGGGAGGUAAAUUUCUUCUAAAGCUAAAUACCGGCCAGAGACCGAUAGCGCACAAGUAGAGUGAUCGAAAGAUGAAAAGCACUUUGAAAAGAGGGUUAAAUAGCACGUGAAAUUGUUGAAAGGGAAGCGUUUGCGACCAGACCUUUUCUAGGGGGAUCAACCGGUGUUCUCACCGGUGCACUUCCCCUGGUUUAGGCCAGCAUCGGUUCUCUGAGGGGGAUAAAGGCAGGGGGAACGUAGCUCUUUCGGGAGUGUUAUAGCCCCCUGCGUAAUACCCCUCGGGGGACCGAGGACCGCGCUCUGCAAGGAUGCUGGCGUAAUGGUCGUCAACGACCCGUCUUGAAACACGGACCAAGGAGUCGAACAUUUGUGCGAGUGUUUGGGUGUUAAACCCUCACGCGUAAUGAAAGUGAACGGAGGUGAGAGCCCUUACGGGCGCAUCAUCGACCGAUCCUGAUGUCUUCGGAUGGAUUUGAGUAAGAGCAUAACUGUUCGGACCCGAAAGAUGGUGAACUAUGCGUGGAUAGGGUGAAGCCAGAGGAAACUCUGGUGGAGGCUCGCAGCGGUUCUGACGUGCAAAUCGAUCGUCAAAUCUGCGCAUGGGGGCGAAAGACUUAUCGAACCAUUGAAACCAGCGGUAAAUCUUGAUUUACUAGGUGGUUAAGAGGUCCCCUGGGAGGGGGGCCUAGGCUUACGAGCCAGUUUACCCUGUAGCUACCCUGGAGUAGGGAGCCUCGGAGUGCUGGCGCGGCCGACACCGCUAAAUUGCGGGAAAGUCCUAAUAGAAGGCCACAGGCUACCGCCUGGCGCUGAAAAGCGCCACGGCACCAAGAAUAGCGCUCUUGGGUAUGGUAAAAACGCCUGUGGUAGCGGACGACCUGCAGCCAACCCCGCAGACGACAGGGGAGAGUUCACUGACUAAAUAGCGGUGGGUUAGCGUAUGCUAGCCUAAGACAUAGUCGAUCCGGCGCCUGAAAAGG